AACGAACGCUGGCGGCAUGCCUAACACAUGCAAGUCGAACGAGACCUUCGGGUCUAGUGGCGCACGGGUGCGUAACGCGUGGGAACCUGCCCUUAGGUUCGGAAUAACUCCCCGAAAGGGGUGCUAAUACCGGAUAAUGUCUUCGGACCAAAGAUUUAUCGCCUUUGGAUGGGCCCGCGUUGGAUUAGCUAGUUGGUAGGGUAAAAGCCUACCAAGGCGACGAUCCAUAGCUGGUCUGAGAGGAUGAUCAGCCACACUGGGACUGAGACACGGCCCAGAAUCCUACGGGAGGCAGCAGUGGGGAAUAUUGGACAAUGGGCGAAAGCCUGAUCCAGCAAUGCCGGGUGAGUGAUGAAGGCCUUAGGGUUGUAAAGCUCUUUUACACGGGAUGAUAAUGACAGUACCGGGAGAAUAAGCUCCGGCUAACUCCGUG
rnacentral:rRNA from 1 species